rnacentral:rRNA from 1 species
GAAAGGGACGGCUAANUACGUGCCAGCAGCCGCGGUAAUACGUAGNUCCCGAGCGUUGUCCGGAUUUAUUGGGCGUAAAGCGAGCGCAGGCGGUUAGAUAAGUCUGAAGUUAAAGGCAGUGGCUCAACCAUUGUAGGCUUUGGAAACUGUUUAACUNGAGUGCAGAAGGGGAGAGUGGAUUCCAUGUGUAGCGGUGAAAUGCGUAGAUAUAUGGAGGAACACCGGUGGCGAAAGCGGCUCUCUGGCCUGUAACUGACGCUGAGGCUCGAAAGCGUGGGGAGCGAACAGGAUUAGAUACCCUGGUAGUCCACGCCGUAAACGAUGAGUGCUAGGUGUUAGGUCCUUUCCGGGACUUAGUGCCGCAGCUAACGCAUUAAGCACUCCGCCUGGGGAGUACGACCGCAAGGUUGAAACUCAAAGGAAUUGACGGGGGCCCGCACAAGCGGUGGAGCAUGUGGUUUAAUUCGAAGCAACGCGAAGAACCUUACCAGGUCUUGACAUCCCGAUGCCCGCUCUAGAGAUAGAGCUUUACUUCGGUACAUCGGUGACAGGUGGUGCAUGGUUGUCGUCAGCUCGUGUCGUGAGAUGUUGGGUUAAGUCCCGCAACGAGCGCAACCCUUAUUGUUAGUUGCCAUCAUUCAGUUGGGCACUCUAGCGAGACUGCCGGUAAUAAACCGGAGGAAGGUGGGGAUGACGUCAAAUCAUCAUGCCCCUUAUGACCUGGGCUACACACGUGCUACAAUGGCUGGUACAACGAGUCGCAAGCCGGUGACGGCAAGCUAAUCUCUGAAAGCCAGUCUCAGUUCGGAUUGUAGGCUGCAACUCGCCUACAUGAAGUCGGAAUCGCUAGUAAUCGCGGAUCAGCACGCCGCGGUGAAUACGUUCCCGGGCCUUGUACACACCGCCCGUCACACCACGAGAGUUUGUAACACCCGAAGUCG